rnacentral:rRNA from 1 species
AACGAACGCUGGCGGCAUGCCUAACACAUGCAAGUCGAACGAUUGCCUUCGGGUGAUAGUGGCGCACGGGUGCGUAACGCGUGGGAAUCAGCCCUUAGGUUCGGAAUAACAGCUGGAAACGGCUGCUAAUACCGGAUGAUAUCGCGAGAUCAAAGAUUUAUCGCCUGAGGAUGAGCCCGCGUUGGAUUAGGUAGUUGGUAGGGUAAAGGCCUACCAAGCCGACGAUCCAUAGCUGGUCUGAGAGGAUGAUCAGCCACACUGGGACUGAGACACGGCCCAGACUCCUACGGGAGGCAGCAGUGGGGAAUAUUGGACAAUGGGCGCAAGCCUGAUCCAGCAAUGCCGCGUGAGUGAUGAAGGCCCUAGGGUUGUAAAGCUCUUUUACCCGGGAAGAUAAUGACUGUACCGGGAGAAUAAGCCCUGGCUAACUCCGUG